CGCGGCCUAUCAGCUUGUUGGUGGGGUGAUGGCCUGCCAAGGCGACGACGGGUAGCCGGCCUGAGAGGGUGACCGGCCACACUGGGACUGAGACACGGCCCAGACUCCUACGGGAGGCAGCAGUGGGGAAUAUUGCACAAUGGGCGCAAGCCUGAUGCAGCGAUGCCGCGUGAGGGAUGAAGGCCUUCGGGUUGUAAACCUCUUUCAGUAGGGAAGAAGCCUUCGGGUGACGGUACCUGCAGAAGAAGCGCCGGCUAACUACGAGCCAGCAGCCGCGGUAAUACGUAGGGCGCAAGCGUUGUCCGGAAUUAUUGGGCGUAAAGAGCUCGUAGGCGGUUUGUCGCGUCUGCUGUGAAAACGCGGGGCUUAACCUCGCGCCUGCAAUGGGUACGGGCAGACUAGAGUGCGGUAGGGGAGACUGGAAUUCCUGGUGUAGCGGUGGAAUGCGCAGAUAUCAGGAGGAACACCGAUGGCGAAGGCAGGUCUCUGGGCCGUUACUGACGCUGAGGAGCGAAAGCAUGGGGAGCGAACAGGAUUAGAUACCCUGGUAGUCCAUGCCGUAAACGUUGGGCACUAGGUGUGGGACCCAUUCCACGGGUUCCGUGCCGCAGCUAACGCAUUAAGUGCCCCGCCUGGGGAGUACGG
rnacentral:rRNA from 1 species